rnacentral:rRNA from 1 species
GACGAACGCUGGCGGCGUGCCUAAUACAUGCAAGUAGGACGCAGUUGCGAACGGGUGAGUAACGCGUAGGUAUCUGCCCAUUAGAGGGGGAGAACUAUUGGAAACGAUAGCUAAUACCGCAUACUAGUAGAUGGAUCUGCGUUGUAUUAGCUAGUAGGUAGGGUAAUGGCCUACCUAGGCGACGGUACAUAGCCGACCUGGGAGGGUGAUAGGCCAAACUGGGACUGGGACACGGCCCAGGCUCCUACGGGAGGCAGCAGUUGGGAAUCUUCGGCAAUGGGGGGAACCCUGACCGAGCAACGCCGCGUGGGUGAAAAAGGUUUUCGGGUCGUAAAGCUCUUUUGGUAAGGAAGCGGUACUUAACCAGAAAGGGACGGCUAACUACGUGCCAGCAGCCGCGGUAAUAC